CAAAGAUGCAAUGGCAAGAGAGCAGAAAUUAAAACAAGGUCAAUCAAAAAGACAUUUGAUUGAUAGAAUACAAGACAGUAUAAAACUUUGUGAAUAAAAUUGAGUGCGGGAUAGUGGCGGACGGGUGAGUAACGCGUGAAUAAUCUGCCCCAUACAGGGGGAUAGCCUCGGGAAACCGGGAUUAAAACCGCAUAACACUUUAUCACCGCAUGGUGAUGAAGUCAAAUCGAUUAAGAGGUAUGGGAUGAGUUCGCGUCUGAUUAGCUAGUUGGCGGGGUAAAGGCCCACCAAGGCGACGAUCAGUAGCCGGCCUGAGAGGGUGACCGGCCACACUGGAACUGAGACACGGUCCAGACUCCUACGGGAGGCAGCAGUGGGGAAUAUUGCACAAUGGGGGAAACCCUGAUGCAGCGACGCCGCGUGAGUGAAGAAGGUCUUCGGAUCGUAAAACUCUGUCCUUGGUGACGAAGGAAGUGACGGUAACCAAGGAGGAAGCCCCGGCUAACUACGUG
rnacentral:rRNA from 1 species